UGGCUGGGCUGGUCUUGAAUGCCUGACCUCGUGAUCCACCUACCUCAGCCUCCCAAAGUGCUGAGAUUAAGGUGUGAGCCACCUGCCCCCCCCACCCCAUUUUUUUUAACUAGCACAUGUGCACAUGAAAAACAUCUCUGAGGUGGGGAGGAGAGGCUGCACGGGGCCAGGGUGGUAGAGGCGUGGCUGGGCCCUGCUGGAGUCCCGGGCUUCAUGCUCAUGCCAGCCCGCUGCCCCCAGAAUGUGCUCCUCAUGACCUGGCACCACAAGACCACCGUCUUCAUGGACGCCAGGGAGUCCAACACAUGUUGGAGCUGAAGCGCAUUGUCACAGGCAUCCUUAAGCGGCUGCAUGACAAGCAGCAACUGUGCAAGGACAACCAAGUCUCGGAUGAUGGUAAGACACUGGGCAAGUGUGGCUUCACCAGCCAAGCAGCACGGCCACAGGCCCCUGCCACCGUGGGGAAGGCCUUCCGGCAGAGGACACCUGUGAGCCCCUGUGGACUCAGAGGGCAGUGCCAGUGAAGAAGUGUUGCAAUGAGGGCACCCUAGAGGCCAUUCCCCCUAAUUAAAGAGAUUUGGAAAAAAGGAAAAGAAGAAAAACAUCUUUGAAAUGCCUGCUCAUGCACUUUCUGCAGUUGACCUUGGUGAGAAGUCAAAAUCUGCUCCAAGACCUGGGGCUAUAUUGGGGCAAACAAUCAGUACAGCUACGGCGUGCGCCCGUUAGCACGCUGACAAUCGGCACAGCUACGGCGUGCGCCCGUUAGCACGCUGACAAUCGGCACAGCUACGGCGUGCGCCCGUUAGCACGCUGACAGUCCGUACAGCUACUGCGUGUGCCCGCUAAGCACUGCCAGUACAACCAUGGCCUGUGCCUUCUGGUAUACUGUCCAUACAGCUGUUGUGUGUGCCUGCCAGCCUGUGCCCACUAGCGCGCUGAGAGUCAGUACAGCCGACAAUCAGUGCCCUCGUGUAUGCCCACUAGUGUGCACUAGGUGUGCACAUCUAUGCUCCUGGCACUAUGCCACGGGCUUCCACACACCUGGUCCCUGUGCACCAGAUGAGGACGCAGGCUCAUAGAGGGUCUGGCCAGAGUCACAGUGAGUGUGAGGUACUGCAGUGCUCUGAGCCUGACUGGGCUGGUCCUACCCCACCCACAUGAGAGGACUCUGGAGGUCCCAGACAGGUGUACUCCUCUUGAUCCCUAGCACCUGUGUUCCCGCACCUGGGGCUGGAGUCCAUCAGAAGGAGGCUGUCUCCAACUGCCACUGUGGUGGCCAACAGGGAGGACACAGCUGCGCUGUGGUGGGCAGCUCUGUGUGCCUCUGCACCCUUCCUCCUCCUUCCCAGAGCUGGGUUCCUAGGAAUGGCCCAGGGGCUUGCUCUGUGUGUAUAUUAGUUUGAUAGAGCUUCAUAGCAAAUUACCACAAACUCAA